rnacentral:rRNA from 1 species
UACGUAGGGUGCAAGCGUUGUCCGGAAUUAUUGGGCGUAAAGAGCUCGUAGGCGGUUUGUUGCGUCGGCUGUGAAAUCCCGAGGCUCAACCUCGGGUCUGCAGUCGAUACGAGCAGACUAGAGUGUUGCAGGGGGAGACUGGAAUUCCUGGUGUAGCGGUGAAAUGCGCAGAUAUCAGGAGGAACACCGGUGGCGAAGGCGGCCAUCUGGACCGCAACUGACGCUGAGGCGCGAAAGCGUGGGGAGCAAACAGG